AAGAGACAGCAGCCGCCACGGUAAUACGUAUGUCACGAGCGUUAUCCGGAUUUAUUGGGCGUAAAGCGCGUCUAGGUGGUUAUAUAAGUCUGAUGUGAAAAUGCAGGGCUCAACUCUGUAUUGCGUUGGAAACUGUAUAACUAGAGUACUGGAGAGGUAAGCGGAACUACAAGUGUAGAGGUGAAAUUCGUAGAUAUUUGUAGGAAUGCCGAUGGGGAAGCCAGCUUACUGGACAGAUACUGACGCUGAAGCGCGAAAGCGUGGGUAGCAAACAGGAUUAGAGACCCCCGUAGUCCCUGUCUCUUAUACA
rnacentral:rRNA from 1 species